GACGAACGCUGGCGGCGUGCUUAACACAUGCAAGUGGAGCGACGAACCGGGGCUUGCCCCGGGGCAGAGCCGCGAACGGGUGAGUAACACGUGGGUAACCCACCCCGAUGACCGGGACAACCCGAGGAAACUCGGGCUAAUACCGGAUGUGCUCCUUGACCUCGAGGUCAAGGCGUAAAGAUAGCUUCGGCCUUCGCAUCGGGACGGGCCCGCGGCCCAUUAGCUUGUUGGUGGGGUAAAGGCCUACCAAGGCGACGAUGGGUAGCUGGUCUGAGAGGACGAUCAGCCACACUGGGACUGAGACACGGCCCAGACUCCGUACGGGAGGCAGCAGGUGGGAAUCUGCGCAAUGCG
rnacentral:rRNA from 1 species